rnacentral:tRNA from 1 species
GGUGGCGUUGGGCACGGUGUUCGACGCGCCGGUGCUGUCGGCACUGGCCGAGCGGCUCGAAGCGGAGAACACGGCGGUCUUGUCGCCGAUACCGCUG